rnacentral:rRNA from 1 species
ACGGCUCAGUAACACGUGGACAACCUACCCUUAGGACGGGGAUAAACCCGGGAAACUGGGUAUAAUACCCGAUAGUCCUCGGCUGCUGGAAUGCACCGAGUACUAAAGCUCCGGCGCCUAAGGAUGGGUCUGCGGCCUAUCAGGUAGUAGUGGGUGUAGCGUACCUACUAGCCUACGACGGGUACGGGUUGUGAGAGCAGGAGCCCGGAGAUGGAUUCUGAGACACGAAUCCAGGCCCUACGGGGUGCAGCAGGCGCGAAAACUUUACAAUGCUGGCAACAGCGAUAAGGGGACCUCGAGUGCCAGGUUACAAAUCUGGCUGUCGUGAUGCCUAAAAAGCAUUGCAUAGCAAGGGCCGGGCAAGACCGGUGCCAGCCGCCGCGGUAACACCGGCGGCUCGAGUGGUAACCGUUAUUAUUGGGUCUAAAGGGUCUGUAGCCGGCCGGAUAAGUCUCUUGGGAAAUCUGGCAGCUUAACUGUCAGGCUUUCAGGAGAUACUGUCUGGCUCGAGGCCGGGAGAGGUGAGAGGUACUUCAGGGGUAGGGGUGAAAUCUUGUAAUCCUUGAAGGACCACCAGUGGCGAAGGCGUCUCACCAGAACGGACCUGACGGCAAGGGACGAAAGCUAGGGGCACGAACCGGAUUAGAUACCCGGGUAGUCCCAGCCGUAAACGAUACUCGCUAGGUGUCGGCCACGGUGCGACCGUUGUCGGUGCCGUAGGGAAGCCGUGAAGCGAGCCACCUGGGAAGUACGGCCGCAAGGCUGAAACUUAAAGGAAUUGGCGGGGGAGCACCACAACGGGUGGAGCUUGCGGUUUAAUUGGAUUCAACGCCGGG